rnacentral:snoRNA from 1 species
GUGCAAUGAUGCAUUUUAUUCACAAACACAUCAUUCUGAGAGAACGUGUGGAAACUCAUGACUGAGCACA